UUACCGAGUUUACAACUCCCAAACCCCUGUGAACAUACCAUUUGUUGCCUCGGCGGUGCCUGCUUCGGCAGCCCGCCAGAGGACCCAAACCCUUGAUUUUAUACAGUAUCUUCUGAGUAAAUGAUUAAAUAAAUCAAAACUUUCAACAACGGAUCUCUUGGUUCUGGCAUCGAUGAAGAACGCAGCGAAAUGCGAUAAGUAAUGUGAAUUGCAGAAUUCAGUGAAUCAUCGAAUCUUUGAACGCACAUUGCGCCCGCCAGUAUUCUGGCGGGCAUGCCUGUUCGAGCGUCAUUUCAACCCUCAAGCCCCCGGGCUUGGUGUUGGAGAUCGGCGUGCCCCCCGGGGCGCGCCGCCUCCCAAAUAUAGUGGCGGUCUCGCUGUAGCUUCCUCUGCGUAGUAGCACACCUCGCACUGGAAAACAGCGUGGCCACGCCGUUAAACCCCCCACUUCUGAAAGGUUGACCUCGGAUCAGGUAGGAAUACCCGCUGAACUUAAGCAUAUCAAUAAGCGGAGGAAAAGAAACCAACAGGGAUUGCCCUAGUAACGGCGAGUGAAGCGGCAACAGCUCAAAUUUGAAAUCUGGCCCUCGGGUCCGA
rnacentral:rRNA from 1 species